rnacentral:ncRNA from 1 species
CUUCACGAGAUGCGCCCGCGCAACGACAAGGACGUCACCGCGCGCCCAGAGCUCCAACUCGGCGUACGCCAACCCUCGGUUCAGGGGUGGAUUGGAUGACGAAGCGGCCGGGGCCACACGUGUGGUUCCGGCAAGCGACCGGA